ensembl:lncRNA
CUCCUAUGUCCAUGGAAUUCUCUAGAAAGGAGUACUGGAGUGGGUUGCCACUCCCUUCUCCAAGAGAUCUCGACCUAGGGACUGAACACAUCUCCUGCAUCGGCAAGUGGCUUCUUUACCACUGAGCCGCCUGGGAAGCCCUACUGUAGGUAGUAAGAUCAUGCUAAGAACGAUAGUGACAACAUAGUGCAAACUAUAGUGAAGACAAGACAACAUUUGUAAAGAAAUUCGUGUGUUUUUCAAUGAAAAAGAAUGAUGCUAAAGCUGAAACUCCAGUACUUUGGCCACCUCAUGCGAAGAGCUGACUCAUUGGAAAAGACUCUGAUGCUUGGAGGGAUUGGGGCCAGGAGGAAAAGGGGACGACAGAGGAUGAGAUGGCUGGAUGGCAUCACCAACGCGAUGGACGGCUUCCCUGGUGGCUCAGUGGUAAAGAAUCUGCCUGUCAAUGCAGGAGACAUGGUUCAAUCCCUGAUCUGGGACGAUCCCACAUGCCUCGGAGCAAUUAAGCUGGUGCGCCACAACUACUGAGUCUGUGCUCUAGAGCUGGGGAGGCGCAGCUAGGGAGCCUGCGCUGCCUAGAACUUGUGCUUCACGACAAGAGAAGCCACCGCACUGAGCAGCCCACAACCGCAGCUAGAGAGUAGCCGCUUUUGCCACAACUGGAGAAAAACCCAUGUAGCAACCAAGACACAGCACAGCCAAGAAUAAAUCAAUUAAUUAAAGAAAGAAAUUUUACUUUAAUCGAAUGAAACUUACUCAGACAGAAGAAAUGUUACCAGGAGCUUAAUUUGGGCCCUACAAGUCUCUAAGCACUUCUAUUAG